rnacentral:rRNA from 1 species
AGAGUUUGAUCAUGGCUCAGAUUGAACGCUGGCGGCAGGCCUAACACAUGCAAGUCGAGCGGUAGCACAGAGAGCUUGCUCUCGGGUGACGAGCGGCGGACGGGUGAGUAAUGUCUGGGAAACUGCCUGAUGGAGGGGGAUAACUACUGGAAACGGUAGCUAAUACCGCAUAAUGUCGCAAGACCAAAGUGGGGGACCUUCGGGCCUCAUGCCAUCAGAUGUGCCCAGAUGGGAUUAGCUAGUAGGUGGGGUAACGGCUCACCUAGGCGACGAUCCCUAGCUGGUCUGAGAGGAUGACCAGCCACACUGGAACUGAGACACGGUCCAGACUCCUACGGGAGGCAGCAGUGGGGAAUAUUGCACAAUGGGCGCAAGCCUGAUGCAGCCAUGCCGCGUGUGUGAAGAAGGCCUUCGGGUUGUAAAGCACUUUCAGCGGGGAGGAAGGCGAUAAGGUUAAUAACCUUGUCGAUUGACGUUACCCGCAGAAGAAGCACCGGCUAACUCCGUGCCAGCAGCCGCGGUAAUACGGAGGGUGCAAGCGUUAAUCGGAAUUACUGGGCGUAAAGCGCACGCAGGCGGUCUGUCAAGUCGGAUGUGAAAUCCCCGGGCUCAACCUGGGAACUGCAUUCGAAACUGGCAGGCUAGAGUCUUGUAGAGGGGGGUAGAAUUCCAGGUGUAGCGGUGAAAUGCGUAGAGAUCUGGAGGAAUACCGGUGGCGAAGGCGGCCCCCUGGACAAAGACUGACGCUCAGGUGCGAAAGCGUGGGGAGCAAACAGGAUUAGAUACCCUGGUAGUCCACGCCGUAAACGAUGUCGAUUUGGAGGUUGUGCCCUUGAGGCGUGGCUUCCGGAGCUAACGCGUUAAAUCGACCGCCUGGGGAGUACGGCCGCAAGGUUAAAACUCAAAUGAAUUGACGGGGGCCCGCACAAGCGGUGGAGCAUGUGGUUUAAUUCGAUGCAACGCGAAGAACCUUACCUGGUCUUGACAUCCACAGAACUUAGCAGAGAUGCUUUGGUGCCUUCGGGAACUGUGAGACAGGUGCUGCAUGGCUGUCGUCAGCUCGUGUUGUGAAAUGUUGGGUUAAGUCCCGCAACGAGCGCAACCCUUAUCCUUUGUUGCCAGCGGUUAGGCCGGGAACUCAAAGGAGACUGCCAGUGAUAAACUGGAGGAAGGUGGGGAUGACGUCAAGUCAUCAUGGCCCUUACGACCAGGGCUACACACGUGCUACAAUGGCAUAUACAAAGAGAAGCGACCUCGCGAGAGCAAGCGGACCUCAUAAAGUAUGUCGUAGUCCGGAUUGGAGUCUGCAACUCGACUCCAUGAAGUCGGAAUCGCUAGUAAUCGUAGAUCAGAAUGCUACGGUGAAUACGUUCCCGGGCCUUGUACACACCGCCCGUCACACCAUGGGAGUGGGUUGCAAAAGAAGUAGGUAGCUUAACCUUCGGGAGGGCGCUUACCACUUUGUGAUUCAUGACUGGGGUGAAGUCGUAACAAGGUAACCGUAGGGGAACCUGCGGUUG